ensembl:snRNA U6 U6 spliceosomal RNA
GUGCUCUCUUCGGCAGCACAUAUACUAAAGCUGGAACGACACAGAGAAGAUUAGCAUGGCCCCUGUGCAAGGAUGACAUGCAAAUUCAUGAAGCAUUCCAUAUUUUA